rnacentral:rRNA from 1 species
UACAGAGGUGGCAAGCGUUGUUCGGAAUUACUGGGCGUAAAGGGCGCGUAGGCGGCCAUCUAAGUCAGACGUGAAAUCCCCCGGCUUAACCUGGGAACUGCGUCUGAUACUGGACGGCUUGAGUAUGGGAGAGGGAUGUAGAAUUCCAGGUGUAGCGGUGAAAUGCGCAGAUAUCAGGAGGAACACCGAUGGCGAAGGCAGGUCUCUGGGCAUUAACUGACGCUGAGGAGCGAAAGCAUGGGGAGCGAACAGG